GAUCCAGUAUAGAUGCUUACCAUGCCUGUACUGUGGCUAACUCCAUGAUUGUAUCAGGACUGAUUGCCCAAACUUAAUGGUCCAUGCCUGAUAUCAGGCAUGAUCAACCAUGGCUGUGUACAUGUGUAUUCUCCUUAUUUUUGUCAUACAUGUAGCCUUAUCUUUGUCUUAUGAUGAUGGAAUACUUUCUCACACUCCAGUUGACUUAUGUCAGGCACAAGUCACUAUGUGAUUUGAGGUACAUAUGGAAACUUCUCCGAUUAAAGGUGACCAUGUGACCACCAGUGACCUGACUGACCUUUGGCGACCCAUACCAUCAUAUUGUUGUAAGUGAAGCUGUAACAACACAAUGUGCACUUGAUUAGAUUGUACAUAUCAGAAGGUUACCUCUGAUGACCAGCAGGUAUAAAGGCUACCUCUGACGACCCCCCCCCAUGUUGUACAUUACUAUAAUAACAAAAUGUGCACUUGAUUAGAUUAAGAUUUUGCUACUGUACCUUCAGGAAAUUGUGCAGCUGUUUUUCUUACCUUGUAUUUUAUUCAUUCAUCUCUAUAUUGUGUUAGCCUUUCAUCUAGAGGUAGUUAACUUAUACCAGGCACAUACAGCUCACUGAUUGAUGAAAUAAAAUCAUCAGAAGUCUUUUUGGCUGUGCCCGCUGUAUUGUGUUGGCUGAACUGCCAAUGCUCUGAUGCCAUGUAUUUCUAUUUCUCCCACUGCUUCUCUUGUCACCCAUCCAGAUUCUCCAUGCAUAUGUCAUGACAUUAAAGGUCUCGGAAUGGGCACAACUGUAACAGCAUGUUCUUGGUGGUCUUGCCAGAUUCUUGGCUCAGAACUGAAUUCUAGACUUAUUAUUACUGACUGAUGUGCUAUUAAUGUUUGUGUACAUUUCAUUGUAAUACGUGUAUUAAUUAACAAUAACUUUUAAUUAACAAUAA
rnacentral:lncRNA from 1 species